GUCCGGCCCCUUCUGGAGGUGUGGCUAAGGGAGAAAUUACACACUUCCUUGUUGUCGUACAGUCUGUUGGAGCUCUGAUUGGCUAAACGCAGUCAGCUGACACAGGGGAGGACUGCCUGGGAUGCUCAUUUAGCAUAAAAACAUUAAAAACUGUUUAUUGUUAAAUGGAAUGAUGGUCCCAGGGGACUCCAGACACUAUAACCAGGUUAAUGAAAUGAAGCAAACACAAUGCCUACAAGUGUCCCUUUAAUGACUGGAUCUUUAUAAAACACUGAUUAAAC